AGUGAACGCUGGCGGUAGGCCUAACACAUGCAAGUCGAACGGCAGCACAGUAAGAGCUUGCUCUUACGGGUUGCGAGUGGCGGACGGGUGAGGAAUACAUCGGAAUCUACUUUUUCGUGGGGGUUAAGGUAGGGAAACUUACGCUAAUACCGCAUACGACCUACGGGUGAAAGCAGGGGAUCUUCGGACCUUGCGCGAUUGAAUGAGCGGAUGUCGGAUUAGCUAGUUGGCGGGGUAAAGGCCCACCAAGGCGACGAUCCGUAGCUGGUCUGAGAGGAUGAUCAGCCACACUGGAACUGAGACACGGUCCAGACUCCUACGGGAGGCAGCAGUGGGGAAUAUUGGACAAUGGGCGCAAGCCUGAUCCAGCCAUACCGCGUGGGUGAAGAAGGCCUUCGGGUUGUAAAGCCCUUUUGUUGGGAAAGAAAAGCAGCAGGUUAAUACCCCGCUGUUCUGACGGUACCCAAAGAAUAAGCACCGGCUAACUUCGUG
rnacentral:rRNA from 1 species